UGUCUACGCCUUGCUACCCUGAACAAGCCCGAUCCCAGCUGAUCUCGGAAGCUAAGCAGGGCUAGGCCUGGUUAGUACUUGGAUGGGAGACCACCUACGAAGACUAGGUACCGUAGGCAU
ensembl:rRNA 5S_rRNA 5S ribosomal RNA